rnacentral:rRNA from 1 species
GAUCGAUGGCGUCAGGACGAACGCUGGCGGCGUGCUUAACACAUGCAAGUCGAACGAUGACGAUGGUGCUUGCACCGUCUGAUUAGUGGCGAACGGGUGAGUAACACGUGAGUAACCUGCCCUCCUCUUCGGGAUAACCGCCGGAAACGGUGGCUAAUACCGGAUAUGAAUGCCUGCCGCAUGGUGGGUGUUGGAAAGAUUUAUCGGUGGGGGAUGGACUCGCGGCCUAUCAGUUUGUUGGUGAGGUAAUGGCUCACCAAGGCGAUGACGGGUAGCCGGCCUGAGAGGGCGACCGGCCACACUGGGACUGAGACACGGCCCAGACUCCUACGGGAGGCAGCAGUGGGGAAUAUUGCACAAUGGGCGAAAGCCUGAUGCCAGCGACGCCGCGUGGGGGAUGACGGCCUUCGGGUUGUAAACCUCUUUCAGCAGGGAAGAAGCGAGAGUGACGGUACCUGCAGAAGAAGCGCCGGCUAACUACGUGCCAGCCGCAGC